rnacentral:rRNA from 1 species
CCUACGGGAGGCAGCAGUGAGGAAUAUUGGUCAAUGGACGAGAGUCUGAACCAGCCAAGUAGCGUGAAGGAUGACUGCCCUAUGGGUUGUAAACUUCUUUUAUAUGGGAAUAAAAUGUUCCACGUGUGGGAUUUUGUAUGUACCAUAUGAAUAAGGAUCGGCUAACUCCGUGCCAGCAGCCGCGGUAAUACGGAGGAUCCGAGCGUUAUCCGGAUUUAUUGGGUUUAAAGGGAGCGUAGGUGGAUUGUUAAGUCAGUUGUGAAAGUUUGCGGCUCAACCGUAAAAUUGCAGUUGAAACUGGCAGUCUUGAGUACAGUAGAGGUGGGCGGAAUUCGUGGUGUAGCGGUGAAAUGCUUAGAUAUCACGAAGAACUCCGAUUGCGAAGGCAGUUCACUGGACUGCAACUGACACUGAGGCUCGAAAGUGUGGGUAUCAAACAGGAUUAGAUACCCUAGUGUC